CCUACGGGAGGCAGCAGUGAGGAAUAUUGGUCAAUGGACGCAAGUCUGAACCAGCCAUGCCGCGUGCAGGAAGACGGCUCUAUGAGUUGUAAACUGCUUUUGUACGAGGGUAAACGCAGAUACGCGUAUCUGUCUGAAAGUAUCGUACGAAUAAGGAUCGGCUCACUCCGUGCCAGCAGCCGCGGUAAUACGGAGGAUUCAAGCGUUAUCCGGAUUUAUUGGGUUUAAAGGGUGCGUAGGCGGUCGGAUAAGUUAGAGGUGAAAUCCCGAGGCUCAACUUCGGAAUUGCCUCUGAUACUGUCCGGCUAGAGAGUAGUUGCGGUAGGCGGAAUGUAUGGUGUAGCGGUGAAAUGCUUAGAGAUCAUACAGAACACCGAUUGCGAAGGCAGCUUACCAAGCUACUUCUGACGUUGAGGCACGAAAGCGUGGGGAGCAAACAGGAUUAGAUACCCUAGUAGUC
rnacentral:rRNA from 1 species